AGGAGUCGUUGACCCAGCCAUACAGAGGCGGGUCUGAGGCUUGGCGACGCCGCCCGGGGUGCCCCGCACCAGGGCCGGUAUAAGAACCGCCUGCCCGCUCCCGGCCCCGCUCCGCCCACAGGCCCGGAUGGCGGCAGCCACGCUGAGGGACCCGGCUCAGAUACAAGCAGAGGGUUCAAUGCCUUCUCAGCAGUAACUCUCUUCCUGUGAAGCCAGAGCCAUAGGCACCAUCCUGAUCCUGAGGUCUGCACCGCCCA
rnacentral:lncRNA from 1 species